rnacentral:rRNA from 1 species
GACGAACGCUGGCGGCGUGCCUAAUACAUGCAAGUAGAACGCUGAAGGAGGAGCUUGCUUCUCUGGAUGAGUUGCGAACGGGUGAGUAACGCGUAGGUAACCUGCCUGGUAGCGGGGGAUAACUAUUGGAAACGAUAGCUAAUACCGCAUAAUAGUAGAUGUUGCAUGACAUUUGCUUAAAAGGUGCAAUUGCAUCACUACCAGAUGGACCUGCGUUGUAUUAGCUAGUUGGUGGGGUAACGGCUCACCAAGGCGACGAUACAUAGCCGACCUGAGAGGGUGAUCGGCCACACUGGGACUGAGACACGGCCCAGACUCCUACGGGAGGCAGCAGUAGGGAAUCUUCGGCAAUGGACGGAAGUCUGACCGAGCAACGCCGCGUGAGUGAAGAAGGUUUUCGGAUCGUAAAGCUCUGUUGUAAGAGAAGAACGAGUGUGAGAGUGGAAAGUUCACGCUGUGACGGUAUCUUACCAGAAAGGGACGGCUAACUACGUG